AUGUAUGCAUGGUUGGGUUUUAUUUGCGUAUUUGGCGGAAUUUGGCAUAUUUUAACCAAACCCUUCGCAUGGGCUCGCCGUGCAUUUGUACGGUUUGGAGAAGCUUACUUGUCUUAUAGUUUAGCUGCUUUAUCUGUCUUUGGUUUUAUCGCUUGUUGUUUUGUAUGGUUCAAUAAUACAGCUUAUCCGAGUGAGUUUUAUGGACCCACCGGGCCACAAGCUUCUCAAGCUCAAGCAUUUACUUUUCUAGUUAGAGACCAGCGUCUUGGAGCUAAUGUGGGAUCCGCUCAAGGACCCACAGGUUUAGGUAAAUAUCUAAUGCGUUCCCCAACUGGGGAGGUUAUCUUUGGAGGGGAAACUAUGCGUUUUUGGGACCUUCGUGCUCCAUGGUUAGAACCUCUAAGGGGCCCCAACGGUUUGGACUUGAGUAGGUUGAAAAAAGACAUACAACCUUGGCAAGAACGACGCUCAGCAGAAUAUAUGACCCACGCUCCUUUAGGCUCUUUAAAUUCCGUGGGUGGCGUAGCUACCGAGAUCAAUGCAGUUAAUUAUGUCUCUCCUAGAAGUUGGUUAUCAACUUCUCAUUUUGUUCUAGGAUUCUUCUUUUUUGUGGGCCAUUUAUGGCAUGCAGGAAGAGCCCGAGCUGCUGCAGCAGGUUUUGAAAAGGGAAUCGAUCGUGAUUUGGAACCUGUUCUUUACAUUAACAGUCGCGUAAAUUAG
rnacentral:rRNA from 1 species